CCGGCAUCGCAAAAUGCAAGAAUUUGGGUAGAUGGAUUGGAGUUCAUGAAAAGCCCUAAAUGUGGUUCCUUUUUGAGGUAACGAAGUGUGUGAUAAACGGCUUGAAGGUGGGCUGUUCUAGAAGAUUGCAUAAAUUGGCUUAAAGUUUGGACUACAUAGGAUAAAUCAGGACAGGUAUGGGUGAGGAAGUUUAAUUGUCCUAGCAAACGAUGAUAAAAGGUGGGACCUUUGAGCAAAGUGCCAGAAUUAGAGGUCAAUUUCACAGUCGGAUCUAGAGGUGUUGAAGCCAAACGAGUCCCAAUAUUGGGGUAUUCAGAUAAAAGAUCGAGAGUGAACUUCCUUUGUGUGACAAUGAAACCAUUAGAUUCAGUAUAGCGUCGACAUAAACAGCGAUUAUAGUGAGCAAAGUGCCAGAGGAUUUGGAAAACAACAAAUAAUCAUUCAGUGAAUGAAUAUAUCCUCUA